AUUGAACGCUGGCGGAAUGCUUUACACAUGCAAGUCGAACGGCAGCACGGACUUCGGUCUGGUGGCGAGUGGCGAACGGGUGAGUAAUGUAUCGGAACGUGCCCAGUCGUGGGGGAUAACGUAGUGAAAAUUACGCUAAUACCGCAUACGAUCUAUGGAUGAAAGCGGGGGAUCGCAAGACCUCGCGCGAUGGGAGCGGCCGAUAUCAGAUUAGGUAGUUGGUGGGGUAAAGGCCCACCAAGCCAACGAUCGGUAGCUGGUCUGAGAGGACGACCGGCCACACUGGACCGGAGACAAGGUCCAGACUCCUACGGGAGGCAGCAGUGGGGAAUUUUGGACAAUGGGCGAAAGCCUGAUCCAGCCAUUCCGCGUGCAGGAUGAAGGCCCUCGGGUUGUAAACUGCUUUUGUACAGAACGAAAAGGUUUCUACUAAUACUAGGAGCUCAUGACGGUACUGUAAGAAUAAGCACCGGCUAACUACGUGCCAGCCGCCGCAGUAA
rnacentral:rRNA from 1 species